UACGGGGGGGGCAAGCGUUGUUCGGAAUUACUGGGCGUAAAGGGUUCGUAGGUGGCCACUUAAGUCAGACGUGAAAUCCCUCAGCUUAACUGGGGAACUGCGUCUGAUACUGAGUGGCUUGAGUGCAGGAGAGGGAUGCGGAACUCCAGGUGUAGCGGUGAAAUGCGUAGAUAUCUGGAGGAACACCGGUGGCGAAGGCGGCAUCCUGGACUGUAACUGACACUGAGGAACGAAAGCCAGGGGAGCAAACGGG
rnacentral:rRNA from 1 species